rnacentral:rRNA from 1 species
AACUUAAAGGAAUUGACGGGGGCCCGCACAAGCAGCGGAGCAUGUGGUUUAAUUCGAAGCAACGCGAAGAACCUUACCAAGACUUGACAUCCCCUGACAGCUGUUGAAAGGCAGUGUCUCUUCGGAGCAGGGAGACAGGUGGUGCAUGGUUGUCGUCAGCUCGUGUCGUGAGAUGUUGGGUUAAGUCCCGCAACGAGCGCAACCCUUAUCCUUAGUUACCAGCACGUAAAGGUGGGGACUCUAGGGAGACCGCCGGGGACGACUCGGAGGAAGGUGGGGACGACGUCAAAUCAUCAUGCCCCUUAUGUCUUGGGCUACACACGUGCUACAAUGGCCGCAACAGAGGGAAGCGAGAGCGCAAGCUGGAGCAAAACCCUAAAAAGCGGUCCCAGUUCGGAUUGUGGGCUGCAACCCGCCCACAUGAAGUCGGAGUUGCUAGUAAUCGCGAAUCAGCAUGUCGCGGUGAAUGCGUUCCCGGGCCUU